rnacentral:rRNA from 1 species
GACGAACGCUGGCGGCGUGCUUAACACAUGCAAGUCGAGCGGAAAGGCCCCUUCGGGGGUACUCGAGCGGCGAACGGGUGAGUAACACGUGGGUAAUCAACCCCUGACAUCGGGAUACCCCGGGGAAACCCGGAUCAAUACCGGAUAAGGUGCGGAGGCGCAGGCCGCCGUACCAAAGGUAGCUUCGGCUUCCGGUCAGGGACGAGCCCGCGGCCCAUUAGCUUGUUGGUGGGGUAACGGCCCACCAAGGCGACGAUGGGUAGCUGGUCGGAGAGGCCGAUCAGCCACACUGGGACUGAGACACGGCCCAGAGUCCUACGGGAGGCAGCAGUGGGGAAUCUUGCGCAAUGGGCGGAAGCCUGACGCAGCAACGCCGCGUGCGGGAAGAAGGCCCUAGGGUCGUAAACCGCUUUCAGGGGGGACGAAGCUUCCGGGGUUAAUAGCCUACGGGGUGACGGUACUCCCAGAAGAAGGUCCGGCUAACUACGUGCCAGCCGCCGCAGUAA